AAAGCGUCGUGAAAAAGAUAAACUUCCUUGUGUGCAAGUCACACGGCGUCAGUUUCCUAUUUUCAUCUCGCUUU
rnacentral:ncRNA from 1 species